CCUACGGGGCGCUGCAGUGAGGAAUAUUGGUCAAUGGGCGGAAGCCUGAACCAGCCAAGUCGCGUGAGGGAAUAAGGCCCUACGGGUCGUAAACCUCUUUUGCCGGGGAGCAAGGGCCGGGACGCGUCCCGGCCCGGAGAGUACCCGGAGCAAAAGCAUCGGCUAACUCCGUGCCAGCAGCCGCGGUAAUACGGGGGAUGCGAGCGUUAUCCGGUUUUAUGGGGUUUAAGGGGUGCGUAGGCGGGCUUUUAAGUCAGCGGUAAAAUUUCGGGGCUCAACCCCGUCCGGCCGUUGAAACUGGGGGCCUUGAGUGGGCGAGAAGAAGGCGGAAUGCGUGGUGUAGCGGUGAAAUGCAUAGAUAUCACGCAGAACCCCGAUUGCGAAGGCAGCCUUCCGGCGCCCUACUGACGCUGAGGCACGAAAGUGCGGGGAUCGAACAGGAUUAGAUACCCGAGUAGUC
rnacentral:rRNA from 1 species